GUAGGGAAUAUUGGGCAAUGGACGCAAGUCUGACCCAGCCAUGCCGCGUGCAGGAUGAAGGCCUUCUGGGUUGUAAACUGCUUUUAUCUGGGAAGAAAAAACUCUUGCGAGAGGAACUGACGGUACCAGAUGAAUAAGCACCGGCUAACUCCGUGCCAGCAGCCGCGGUAAUACGGAGGGUGCAAGCGUUGUCCGGAUUUAUUGGGUUUAAAGGGUGCGUAGGCGGCCCGGUAAGUCAGUGGUGAAAGCCCAUCGCUCAACGAUGGAACUGCCAUUGAUACUGCCGGGCUUGAGUACAGACGAGGUAGGCGGAAUUGAUAGUGUAGCGGUGAAAUGCAUAGAUACUAUCAAGAACACCGAUUGCGUAGGCAGCUUACUAGGCUGUAACUGACGCUGAGGCACGAAAGCGUGGGGAGCGAACAGGAUUAGAUACCCUGGUAGUCCACGCUGUAAACGAUGAUUACUCGAUGUUGGCGAUACACAGUCAGCGUCUUAGCGAAAGCGUUAAGUAAUCCACCUGGGGAGUACGCCCGCAAGGG
rnacentral:rRNA from 1 species